ensembl:lincRNA
GCGGGCUCAGGGCUGGGCACUGAGCGCGGGAGGUGGCCUCUCAAGGCAGGGAUCUCGGUGCCUCUGCACGCCUGGCACGGCGGCCGACACUCGAAUCAGUGAUCAGAACAAAAGGUCUUGACAAGAAGAUGCUUGCUUGUAAGAAGCAAAAAAUGGCUUUCUUCAAAGGAUGUAGAAGUAGGAUAAGAAAGUGAGCAUGAGAACCUGAAGCAGGCUUUUGUUCUUGCUGUCUCCGAGUCUUGGCGCAGAAUCAAGUAACAGAUUUCAAGAAGUUGGAAGCAUGAUCUACUUAUUCUGGAAGAAGAUAUUGAGGCAGUGAAUGCUUCUAAAAUUGUUUCCCUUAAAAAAAGUGCUGUGGCCAUGCUUGUGAUUGAAAUAGAAGAAAGGAUACUCAGACGGAAAGAAGCUCAGGAAAUUCAAUUUGACAAAUUCCUCAAUGUCCUAGAGACAGAGAAUUGUGCCUAUGGGAGAAAACAAUGCUCCUGGAGAGAUGAGAGCAAGCCCUGGAAACCCACUGACUGCCUUUGGCAGAGGAUAUUCUCCUGGAACCAAAAGUUCUUCAGUCCAGAGCUCUCAUUCCACCUGUCUUCCUGCAUACACAUAUCUGGAGAGAGUGAAACCCCAAAUCCAGUUCCUGGUGUGUUAAAUGAGAAACUUCAGUGGAAUAGAAAGGGCUCAAGCAACUCCAGCACAGGGACACAGCUCUUAAAAUGA